rnacentral:lncRNA from 1 species
UUUUCAAUCUGCUUUGGACCAAAUCGGUUUCUGGUGCCACAAGCUAGACUUUUUAGCAAAUGCAAAUUUCCCGCUAGCAGGUUUGAGACAAAGGGAGUCAUAAGAAUUAGCAUUAAUCACAUAGCCUAGAGGAUUUGUUUUUUUUUUUUCUUCAGAUCCUAGUGCAAAGCUGCCCAAACAAUUAGUUCCCCUGAGAUCUGUUUUCAGAUGAAAAAUGUAAACACUCCUGUCAUUUCUGGACCAAAAGCCAAGCUGCCUCUCUGAAGGAAGAUGCACGUGUAAGAACUUCAUGCCAAGUAGUUCUAAAUUGGCCACAAAAACCCCUAGGGGCAUGGUGAUAGUGCCACAAAGCCUGCAAGUUUCCUUUUAAAAACCGCCUUCCCACCAGCUCCUUUCCAGGCACAUCUUUAUCAUCCGUGUGACACAUUAACAGGAAGCAUUAAUGUUACGCAGAUGCAUUAAGUCACACAAGCGGUUUGGUGCAUUUCGCUGGGACCUCAAUGCAUUACAGCACAGAGGUGUGCAGACAAAGCAAGGAGCAGGCUGUGUCGAUACCAUCCGAACCCGAGCUCUGAACACACAUUACCGAGAGCACAAUUACCCAGCCUGUGCUAUUAGGUCGCAUUAGCCACCAGCCCCCAUCCCUCCCAAUUAAUAAUUGAACUCAAUCCAUAUAGGAGUGCUCAGGCCGGGCUGGAAGAUGCCUUCUAGCAUGCAUUAGAAAGAAGCAUCUCCAGGGGCCUCAGAGCACUCUGUCCAUUUAACAAGUCAAUCUAUAAACUACAGUCAACCCUUGAUUAUUAGAAACUGAUGCCCACCCCCACUCCUGAAUGUUCCAUCUGCUUUGCUCUUCAUCUUUCCCCAACCUGGUACCUUCCUUCUAGACACAUACCAGCUUAUUACCCCACCCCUUGUCGUGGGUGCUCUGAUGCAUCCAUCGCCCAAGCCCCCUCAUGCCUGGAGGACUCGUUCUCCCAGCCACUGGGAGAGCCCUCAGCCCUGAGCCCUCUUUGGAAAUUGCCUCCGAUGAUGAACGACACGUCUCCCAAGAUCUUGUUCCUUCCCAGGGCAGCCACAUUGAAAGGAGUUCCCUGGUGGCUCAGCAGACUGAGGACCUGGCACUGUCACUGCUGUGUCCAGGUCCUUGCUGUGGCUCAGGUUCAGUCCCUGGCCUGGGAACUUCUGCAUACCAUGGGUGUGGAACAAAAAAAAAUUUUAACUAAAAAAAAAAAAGAGGAGGGGAGUUCCCGUGGCACUGUAUCCAUGAGGGUGUGGGUUCAAUCUCUGGCCUCACUCAGUGGGUUAAGGAUCCAGCGUUGCCAUGAGCUCAAGGGCAGGGAUCGAACCCACAACCUCAUGGUUCCUAGUCAGAUUCAUUAACCACUGCGCCAGGACCGGAACUCCUAGGCCUCUGUUCUGACUGCGAUGCAGCCCAGUUUCUCCCCAUCCAUCCCCGCGCUCUCUCCUCCCAUCAGAGAGAAUAGCAAUCCCGCUCCCCAGCCACCCUCCGGCACAUCAUCUCCAUCUCGGAGUUUGUGUCCCAGGGGACUCAACCUGCAACUGAAAAGAAAUACCUACACUUCACUUUCCACCUCGAAAGGCUGUCAGAGGCAUUACAUAAAAUAAGUAUGUAAAAGUUCCUUAUGAAGUACAACGGGUGUGAAAAACACUACCCUUCCCCUCUACGACACCAUUAGAUAAUAUGAGUUCAUUUGGGUUUUUUUGUAUUUUGGGUUUUUUUGCAUAUCAGGGCCACACUUGUGGCACUUGGAGGUUCCCAGGCUAGGAGUCGAAUCAGGGUUGCAGCUGCCAGCCUACACCACAGCCACAGCCCUGCCAGACCUGAGCUGCGUCUGCGACCUACACCACAGCUCAUGGCAAUGCCAGCUCCUUAACCCACUGAGCGAGGCCAGGGAUGAAACUCACACCUUCACGGGUACUAGUCGGGUUCUUAACUUGCUGAGCUACAACAGGAAGGCCCUAUAUGGGUUUUUACAUGGAACAAAUGAAAGUACAGAUUUCAAGUUUAUUUUUUUUAUUUAUUCAUUUUUUGGUCUUUGUGUCUUUUUAGGGCUGCACCGCAGCAUAUGGAAGUUCCCAGGUUAGGGAUCUAAUCAGAGCUGUGGCCACCAUCCUACACCAGAGCCACAGCAACGCAGGAUCUGAGCUGCAUCUGCGACCUACACCACAGCUCACAGCCACACCAGAUCCUCAACGCACUGAGCAAGGCCAGGGAUCAAACCUGCAACCUCAUGGUUCCUAGUCGGAUUUGUUUCUGCUGCACCACGACAGGAACUCCGGAUUUCAAGUUGAAAUAAAGCUAUCAGGCCCAAGCUUACUGAGGCUCAAAUUGAAAAAAUACCAACACUGAGUACCUUUAGUAUCUUCUUAUAGCCCUUAAAUUUUCAUCUAUUUAUGACGAGUCUUCCCAGCUUCCAGUUUUUUGGGGGGGAGGGUGGUGGUAGUGGUAAAAACACUUCUUCAAAAAGUGUCAAAAUAAUUUGGCACUUUGAGGUCAGCCAAAUAGCAUCACUGAGAAAAUCCUAUCACCGGUAUUUACAAAUCCACACGCAGAGUCUCAGCGCAGUAAAAACAGGAUAACAUGGGCCCACAAAGCCAGACUCUGCAAGCGCAAGGCCGGGGACGAAAGCUUUCAGCUUAGUGUUCCACUUAGGAAUGUCGCUUCCUCAGCAGACCACACGACAGAAAAUACAGACUUUUGAAUUUAACAAGGGAGCAAAAAAUGGCCCAGAGAGGAAGAGACCAGCGUUCAGAGAUGACCCCAGCUCCAGCCCUACCAGGGAUUCACAUGUGUACCAUCCACCCCAGGCCGCUGUCCUCACUGUGCCUCUGAGCUGUCCCAGGACAGAUGGAGCAAAAGCCCAGCCAGGAGAGGAUCAGAGCCAUCCUGACACCUCUCACUGGGGUAAGUACCCAGAGCCAAGGAAAAUGUCCUGGGACCCUCAACUUCUGCUCUUUGUUUUGGGGGUUCUUUUCCCCUUUAUUUAAAUGGCAGUUUUUUAACUACAAAAUGGGAAACUUGACCGUGAUCGUUUUAUUUCUUUUGCUUAAUUAAAAGGGAGUGGUGACAAAUGUUUAGAUUCAAUCGUAAGUACUACUCAUUCGGACUAACACACACCUGCCCUAUAGCACAAGCGAUGGCUGUAGGUUCAUGGGCAGGUAGAUGAUGAGUAGAGUCAGAGCGUAGAGGUGUGUGUGUGUGUGUGUGUGUGUGUGUGUGUGUGUGUGUGUGUGUGUACAGGUGUGUGCACACAUGUAUGCAUGAGCUGGGGCUGUGGAUAGGCAUUUUUCCUAGUGAUACAGAUAGCAGGGCUCCCGAACAAAUAAUAUAUGGGUUUUCAAUAGCAUAGGUAAGGGGUAAAAUAUACCUAGCGUAUUAUUCCCAAUUCUGCAGAUCUUUCCAACAGGACUUAUUUGUACAUAUAUACACAUAUAUAUACACACACAUAUAUAUACCUACAUAUAUAUAUAUUUUUUAAUGUAUUGAAGUUGGAGUUCCCAUCGUGGCGCAGCAGGAAGGAAUCCGACUAGGAACCAUGAGAUCAUGGGUUCGAUCCCUGGCCUCGCUCAGUGGGUUAAGGAUCCGGCAUUGCCAUGAGCUGUGGUGUAGGUUGCAGACGAGGCUCACAUGUAUCCGUUCGUUUUCAGAUUUGUUUCCCAUCUAGGUUAUCACAGAACAUUGGGUAGAGUUCCCUGUGCUGUAGAGCAGCAGCAGCACUUAUUUUUAUAGCGUCCUGUUUCUCCAUCUUCAAAUCGAGUGCCCAGUCCCCGUUCCAACUUUUAAUCUUGAGCCUGAGCUGAAAGUACCCAUGCGGCAUCAAAGUAAAACAACUUUCUUUCUUUUUACUUUUUGGCCACACCUGCAGCUUGUGGAAGUUCCCGGGGCCAGAGACUGAACCCACGCCACAGCAGCAACCCAAGACACUGCAGUGACAAGGCUGGGUCCUUAAUCCGCUGAGCCACAGAGGAACUCCGUAAAAUAACUUUCAAGACCCGCAAGAAAUAUUCACGUGUCUACAACCAUUAAUCCAAAAGACAAAGUCCAUCACAGCAGGCCCCAGAUGGCCUAAGAAAACGAACAACAAUUUUCCAGCAAAAUUAACUGCCCACAUUUGACCAUUGCAUGAAAGAGAAAUAUAUGGGGAAGAUGUGCUAAUCCAGUCUCAAGCAGAACCGAUGAAAAAAUGUAUUUUCUGGAAGUGUCCGGGCUUCAGGUCUUGGAAAGGACCUAAUUAUCCAUGAACUAAGGCUAGGGGACGAAUCAGGAGCUAUAGCUGCUGGCCUACGCCACAGCCACAGCAACACGGGAUCUGAGCCACAUCUUCGACAUACAUACACCGUAGCUCACAGCAACACCGGAUCCUUAACCCACUGAAUGAGGCCAGGGAUCGAACCUGCAUCCUUGCGGAUCUUAGUCAGGCUCGUUAACUGCUGAGCCAGGAAGGGAACUCCGAGAACCACAGUUUUUGCUGAGAAUCUCAACUACUAUGUUUUGUUUUGUUUUUUUUGUCUGAGCCCCAGGCAUAUGGAAGUUCCCCAGCCAGGGAUCGAACCCACACCACAGCAGUAACCAGAGGCACAGCAGUGACAACACCAGAUCCUUAAUCCACUGAGCCACCAGGGAACUAACUCUUCAACUACCACGUUCACUGAAUUGGGGAAUUGAAUCCAAUAUAAUGAAGGUUAAAUGUCAGCCCCGCCAGAGAGGGUGGGAAUCCCUGGAAUGGGCUGAGAAGUUCAGAAUUUCCAUUCACAGAGUAAUUGUAGAAUAUUUGUGUAAGGGGGAAAUUGCACCUAAUGGAAAAUCAUAAGUACAAAGAAAACACAUUUAAAUGAAGUGUGGUUACCUCUAUUCACUUUACAAGAUUUUGUCUUUUAAAAAUCAUCUGAAAUCAUUUUCCCUUCAAUACAUAGUUCAGUGCAGGGUGUAGGUUUGGAAUCUGCAGAAAUGUUGUACCUGGGUUUUGAACUCUACAGAGUUCUGAAAAUGCUCAAGACCCCACCUUAAAGUCAUCCAACCAAUGCCUCUUCUUGUAGGACCCUGUCUG